rnacentral:rRNA from 1 species
AUUGAACGCUGGCGGCAGGCCUAACACAUGCAAGUCGCACGAGUGGCGGACGGGUGAGUAAUGUCUGGGAAACUGCCUGAUGGAGGGGGCUAACUACUGGAAACGGUAGCUAAUACCGCAUACCAUCGGAUGUGCCCAGAUGGGCUUAGCUAGUAGGUGGGGUAAAGGCUCACCUAGGCGACGAUCCCUAGCUGGUCUGAGAGGAUGACCAGCCACACUGGAACUGAGACACGUUCCAUCCGCGUACGGGAGGGAGCAGUGGGGAAUAUUGCACAAGGGGCGCAAGCCUGAGGCAGCCAUGCCGCGUGUAUGAAGAAGGCCUUCGGGUUGUAAAGUACUUUCAGCGGGGAGGCGUUACCCGCAGAAGAAGCACCGGCUAACUCCGUGCCAGCGGCCGCGGUAAUUC